rnacentral:rRNA from 1 species
UACGAAGGGGGCUAGCGUUGUUCGGAAUUACUGGGCGUAAAGCGCACGUAGGCGGACAUUUAAGUUGGAGGUGAAAGCCUUGGGCUCAACCCAAGAAUUGCCUUUGAUACUGGAUGUCUCGAGACCGGGAGAGGUGAGUGGAAUUCCGAGUGUAGAGGUGAAAUUCGUAGAUAUUCGGAAGAACACCAGUGGCGAAGGCGUCUCACUGGACCGGCAUUGACGCUGAGGUGCGAAAGCGUGGGGAGCAAACAGG